rnacentral:tRNA from 1 species
UUCUUAUUAGCUCAAUGGCAGAGCAGAAUACUUCUAAUAUUCUGAUCUAAGUUCAAAUCUUAGAUAAGAAU